CGGACGGGUGAGUAACGCGUGGAAAACCUGCCGUAUACGUGGGGGAUAACACUUAGAAAUAGGUGCUAAUACCGCAUAAGCGCACAGCUUCGCAUGAAGCGGUGUGAAAAACUCUGGUGGUAUACGAUGGUUCCGCGUCUGAUUAGCUAGUUGGUGGGGUAAUGGCCUACCAAGGCAACGAUCAGUAGCCGGCCNGAGAGGGUGAACGGCCACAUUGGGACUGAGACACGGCCCAAACUCCUACGGAAGGCAGCAG
rnacentral:rRNA from 1 species